UCUCAGAGGAUGAAAAGGAGAAGGAACAGAUUAGGGGACGUCUGCUCAGCUGUUCAGCCACAGAAGGCAGGAUCAGUGAUGAUCUCGACCAUGGCCUGGUCCCCUCUCCUCCUCACCCUCCUCAUUCACUGCACAGGGUCCUGGGCCCAGUCUGUGUUGAGUCAGCCACCCUCAGUGUCUGGGGCCCUGGGCCAGACGGUCACCAUCCCCUGCGCUGGAGGUGCCAACAACAUCGAUAUUGCUGGUGUGAACUGGUACCAACAGCUUCCAGGAAAGGCCCCUAAACUCCUCAUCUAUGAUAGUAGCGAUCGACCCUCAGGGGUCCCUGACAGAUUUUCUGGCUCCACAUCUGGCAACACAGGCUCCUUGACCAUCACUGGGCUCCAGGCUGAGGACGAGGCUGAUUAUUACUGCCAGUCUCUUGACUUUACUCAAGAGGGUAUUGAAGUCCUCAGACCCUGGAGUAGCCAUGGGACCAUCACCACCAUGCUCAAUCGUCAGUUCCUCCUGCUGCUGUGA